rnacentral:lncRNA from 1 species
UCCAAUAAUUUUCCCAACUUGUUGUUUUCAGCUCCAGUUCUCCUUAGGCUCCAAAAUGCUCUAAAUGCUCCAAACUUGUCCAAAACAUACAUGAACCUACAAAGACUCAUAGACACUCUAAAAAGAUCAAAAAGACUCUAAAAUCGGCCUACAUCAUGUUCAAAAACCCAUAAAACUAUGAUAUAUCUCAAUCUUCUCUUUCCUCAUUACAGUGAAGUGCCUGCUGCGCCUCGAGGUGACAACCGUAUCUGGGAGUCGGGUUUACGACUUGACUGACCAGAAUUCAAAGGAAGUUUGAAACCCGGCAAGCUGUUCGACUGUAUUAGUACGAUGGAGGAAUUCUAACAUUUAAACAAAUUCCUGAAGUAAUGAGUGUUUCAUUAGCGGCAUCUCGUUUCAAGGGAACGGCCUCAGCGUGAUGGCACCAAGCUUGGGAAGUGGCUUGUGUUUGGUUCUUUGGAGCUUUGAAUGUAACUUGUGUUUUGUUUUGGUUCUUGGGAAGUAGCUUCUGUUUGGUUAUUUUUACAUGUACAACAUCAUGUUUCAUUGCGGCUUGUGUUUAGUUCUUUUGAGAUUAUAUCGUAACUUUUGCACUGAAUUAUGUUAUUGACUGCUCAUUUAGGAAUGAUACACUGAGGUACAUAUACAGCAUCCUGUUUCAUAGUGGCUUGUGUUUGGAAUUAUAAGCCUUUUUGGGUCUUAGUGUUGUUGAAAUUACGGUGUUGCAGUUUCUUUAGAGCUUCUAAAUUAACUUGUUGGACUGAAUUAUGUUCUUGGCUGCUCGUUUUCAGUAUGAGACAUGGUACUACUAGAUCUGAUCAAGAAGGUCAUUUUAAGCUUGACACGAAGAUUGAGGGAGGGAUCAAAGGUUUCUGAGUAAGAACUAAGAACCCACCGAUGUGGAAAAGCAUAGAAUUAAAUAUAGAAUAUGUUAAACACAUAAUCAAAAUAAGGUAGACC